CCUUGUCACCUUAAUUUUUAUUAUAAUUCUCUAAGCCUUUUGGAAGACUUCUUAUCUUUUAUCAGGACCUUGUCUAGGCUAGAGAAGAAGAAUAAAGAGAAUUGGACAAGAUGAGCCUAUUGUAAGAAAGAAGGAAGUGUUUGGAAUGAGCGAUGACUCCUCGGCGUGCACCCCUAUUUAUAUUGCAUGUAGGGGUGCAAACCAAGCAUCUCACACCCACUCACACCUCAUCUCAUGCCUCCUCUCA
rnacentral:lncRNA from 1 species